AUCUUAUCAAGAGCGGUGGAGGGACUGGCCCUAUGAAACCCGACAACCAACAUCUAUUUUUUAGGUGUACUGGUGUCAAUUCCUGCAGAGUAAGCUAUGCCUACUCUGGAAGAUAAGAA
rnacentral:ncRNA from 2 species